GGAAAAGCUGGUGAAACAGAUGAAAGCAUCGCGUGGACUGUACUUGAUCUGUGGACUACCUGUAGAACCUGCAGAACUCAUCAGCAUCCCCUCUACUGCUUAUAUUCUACUUGAUGUAAAGGUUGUUGCUAGUUCUGUAAGAAAAAAAAGAAAAAAAAACCUUGCAAACAGAGAACCAAUUUGCUUAAAGUUUACCUUACGCUGAAAGUUGUGGGCACACGGAGCAGAACUGGAAUAUUAUAUUUGAAUUCAUCUUAACACAGAGCAGGCAGAACAAUAAU